rnacentral:lncRNA from 1 species
CGAUCCCGCCCCGCGGUCCCCCCCGGGGCAUGAACCGCCCCCCGGCGGGCCGAAACCGGCCAAACCGGCUAAACCGCCCCGAUCAUGCCCAUUUUUCGGCGUUCAAACCGCCGCACGGCUACCCCCCCAUCCCGAUGCCCUCGGACCCCUGGUCCCGUGGGACCUGACGGAAACGGAAUCGGAUGCUCGGAUCAUGAGAUACGCCCAAAACCGUCUAAACUUAUGAGCGCACCCUGAACAUGCCCAUUUUUGGGCGUUCAAACUGCCGCGCGGCUACCCCCCCAUCCCGAUGCCCCCGGAACCUGGUCCCGCGGGACCCGACGGAAACGGAAUCGGAGGCCCGGAUCAUGAGUUACGGCCCUUUCUUUGCGGCCCCCGAGGACGUGCGCUAUAGCCCCCCGGGCCACCCCCCAUCCGGCCGCACCAGCCCGAACUCCACCGAACGCGUCCGCCGCAUCCCGAUCCCGCCCUGCGGUCCCCCCCGGGGCAUGAACCGGCCCCCGGCGGGCCGAAACCGGCCAAACCGGCUAAACCGCCCCGAUCAUGCCCAUUUUUCGGCGUUCAAACCGCCGCACGGCUACCCCCCCAUCCCGAUGCCCCCGGACCCCUGGUCCCGUGGGACCUGACGGAAACGGAAUCGGAUGCUCGGAUCAUGAGAUACGCCCAAAACCGUCUAAACCUACUGAGCGCACCCCGAACAUGCCCAUUUUUCGGCGUUCAAACCGCCGCGCGGCUACCCCCCCAUCCCGAUGCCCCCGGAACCCUGGUCCCGCGGG